rnacentral:rRNA from 1 species
GAUGAACGCUGGCGGCGUGCCUAAUACAUGCAAGUCGAGCGAACAGACGAGGAGCUUGCUCCUCUGACGUUAGCGGCGGACGGGUGAGUAACACGUGGAUAACCUACCUAUAAGACUGGGAUAACUUCGGGAAACCGGGGCUAAUACCGGAUAAUAUAUUGAACCGCAUGGUUCAAUAGUGAAAGACGGCUUUGCUGUCACUUAUAGCUGGAUCCGCGCCGCAUUAGCUAGUUGGUAAGGUAACGGCUUACCAAGGCAACGAUGCGUAGCCGACCUGAGAGGGUGAUCGGCCACACUGGAACUGAGACACGGUCCAGACGCCUACGGGAGGCAGCAGUAGGGAAUCUGCCGCAAUGGGCGAAAGCCUGACGGAGCAACGCCGCGUGAGUGAUGAAGGUCUUCGGAUCGUAAAACUCUGUUAUUAGGGAAGAACAAAUGUGUAAGUAACUAUGCACGUCUUGACGGUACCUAAUCAGAAAGCCACGGCUAACUACGUG